GGAGUAGUGGUGGGUCCACGACUGAAAGGACUUUACCAGGAGGCAUAGGUUGUGCGCCUUUGCCGAAGGUUCGAAUCCUUCCUGCUCCC
rnacentral:tRNA from 1 species